UAACGGCGAGUGAAGCGGUAACAGCUCAAAUUUGAAAUCUGGCCUCACGGUCCGAGUUGUAAUUUGUAGAGGAUGCUUCGAGCAUGGUCUGGCCUAAGUUCCUUGGAACAGGACGUCAUAGAGGGUGAGAAUCCCGUAUGCGGCCAGGUGCCUACGCUCAUGUGAAGCUCCUUCGACGAGUCGAGUUGUUUGGGAAUGCAGCUCAAAAUGGGUGGUAAAUUUCAUCUAAAGCUAAAUAUUGGCCAGAGACCGAUAGCGCACAAGUAGAGUGAUCGAAAGAUGAAAAGCACUUUGGAAAGAGAGUUAAACAGUACGUGAAAUUGUUGAAAGGGAAGCGCUUGCAACCAGACUUGCGCGCGGCCGAUCAUCCGGUGUUCUCACCGGUGCACUCGGCCGUGCUCAGGCCAGCAUCGGUUUUGGCGGCUGGAUAAAGGCCCUAGGAAUGUGGCUCCUCUCGGGGAGUGUUAUAGCCUAGGGUGCAAUGCAGCCUGCUGGGACCGAGGACCGCGCUUCGGCUAGGAUGCUGGCGUAAUGGUUGUAAGCGGCCCGUCUUGAAACACGGACCAAGGAGUCUAACAUCUAUGCGAGUGUUUGGGUGUCAAACCCAUACGCGUAAUGAAAGUGAACGGAGGUGAGAACCCUUAAGGGUGCAUCAUCGACCGAUCCUGAUGUCU
rnacentral:rRNA from 1 species